rnacentral:rRNA from 1 species
AGUGAACGCUGGCGGUAGGCCUAACUCAUGCAAGUCGAACGGCAGCACAGUAAGAGCUUGCUCUUACGGGUGGCGAGUGGCGGACGGGUGAGGAAUACAUCGGAAUCUACUUUUUCGUGGGGGAUAACGUAGGGAAACUUACGCUAAUACCGCAUACGACCUACGGGUGAAAGCAGGGGAUCUUCGGACCUUGCGCGAUUGAAUGAGCCGAUGUCGGAUUAGCUAGUUGGCGGGGUAAAGGCCCACCAAGGCGACGAUCCGUAGCUGGUCUGAGAGGAUGAUCAGCCACACUGGAACUGAGACACGGUCCAGACUCCUACGGGAGGCAGCAGUGGGGAAUAUUGGACAAUGGGCGCAAGCCUGAUCCAGCCAUACCGCGUGGGUGGAGAAGGCCUUCGGGUUGUAAAGCCCUUUUGUUGGGAAAGAAAAGCAGCAGGUUAAUACCCCGCUGUUCUGACGGUACCCAAAGAAUAAGCACCGGCUAACUUCGU